rnacentral:rRNA from 1 species
GGACUACUAGGGUAUCUAAUCCUGUUUGCUCCCCACGCUUUCGCGCCUCAGCGUCAGUAACGGGCCAGUGUGUCGCCUUCGCCACUGGUGUUCUUCCGAAUAUCUACGAAUUUCACCUCUACACUCGGAGUUCCACACACCUCUCCCGUACUCUAGGCUCCCAGUAUCAAAGGCAGUUCCGAGGUUGAGCCCCGGGAUUUGACCCCUGACUUAAGAACCCGCCUACGCGCCCUUUACGCCCAGUAAUUCCGAGCAACGCUAGCCCCCUUCGUAUUACCGCGGCUGCUGGCAC